UACAGAGGUCCCAAGCGUUGUUCGGAUUCAUUGGGCGUAAAGGGCGCGUAGGCGGCCUUCUAAGUCGAACGUGAAAUCCCCGGGCUCAACCCGGGAACUGCGUCCGAUACUGGAAGGCUUGAAUCCGGGAGAGGGAUGCGGAAUUCCAGGUGUAGCGGUGAAAUGCGUAGAUAUCUGGAGGAACACCGGUGGCGAAGGCGGCAUCCUGGACCGGUAUUGACGCUGAGGCGCGAAAGCCAGGGGAGCAAACGGG
rnacentral:rRNA from 1 species